UGUAGCCUAGUGGUUAGAGCGUUGGGGAGGCAGGUAGCCUAGUGGUUAGAUCGUUGGUGUGGCAGAUAGCCUCGUGGUUACAGUGUUGGGGAGGCAGGUAACCUAGAGCGUUGGGGCGGCAGGUAACCUAGUGGUUAGAGCGGCAGGUAGCCUAGUGGUUAGAGCGUUGGGGAGGCAGGUAGCCUAGUGGUUAGAGCGUUGGGGUGGCAGGUGACCUAGUGGUUAGAGCGUUGGGGAGGCAGGUAGCCUAGUGGUUAGAGCAUUGCGGAGGCAUGUAGCCUAGUGGUUAGAGCGUUGGGGAGGCAGGUAGCCUAGUGGUUAGAGCGUUGGGGUGGCAGGUGACCUAGUGGUUAGAGCGUUGGGGAGGCAGGUAGCCUAGUGGUUAGAGCGUUGGGGAGGCAGGUAGCCUAGUGGUUAGAGCGUUGGGGAGGCAGGUAGCCUAGUGGUUAGAGUGUAGGGGAGGCAGGUAGCCUAGUGGUUAGAGUAUUGGGGAGGCAGGUAGCCUAGUGGUUAGAGUGUUGGGGCGGCAGGUAGCCUAGUGGUUAGAGUGUUGGGGAGGCAGGUAGCCUAGUGGUUAGAGUGUUGGGGAGGCAGGUAGCCUAGUGGUUUAGAGCGUUGGGCCAGUAACCGAAAGGUUGCAUGUUGAAUCCCUGAGCUGCUCCUGAACAAGGCAGUUAACCCACUGUUCCUAGGCUGUCACUGUAAAUAGAACUGACUUGCCUAGUUAAAUAAAGUUCUUAAAAAAAUGUUUAACAAUCCCUUGAAAACUGCACACAGUUGUCAAUGGUUUUAGCAGAGCUGUGGGUCUUCUUGCUCACCAGCAGCCAAAUGGAUUGCUCUGCACCAUAUUAGGUCGUAAUCAAUGAAACGUCACAUGGGGACAAACAUUUGGGACAGAUCAUUAGGAUUCUCAGGUUCCAAAUAUUUUAAAUGUCUCGUGUCAUGUUAGCUCAUACAUAUUCAGAGGUUGCUACAGCCUCUCACCUCAUGUAAUGCAUGUCAAUCACUGGAGUCAAAGACAUGUUGAUUGAGUUGGAAAGAAAGAGUUAUGUUUCUGAUGUCUUAAAACUGUAAAUUAAACUCUAAUAAUAUACAAAUGACAAGAACUGUAUUAUAAUGAGCAAACUGAAUCUAAUUUAAUCUAUGUUAAUGUUUUAGUUCUAAUCCAUGUGAAUUGUUCAAUAUGUGUAUGUUUCAGCAAAGAUAAAAAUAUAUGAGUUUACAUAUGGCUUAAACAAAUGUCAAUUGCUUUCUAUUUUCCAUAAAUGUAUCAAUGUAGAUAUUAAUUGUUCCUUAGUUUUGGUGUUUGCCAGUAACAUCUAUUAAAUGUAGCAACAUUGAUAUUUAUUGCAGAGAUGAAAUGAUUAGACCUAUUGUUUAUUUGCUUAAUCUUGUUUCUAGUUAUUGUUCUGUAAGAUAUGUGCAUUGUGUAACUUAAAUGUUAAUUUAAAACUUUAAUAGGAAUUUAUUUUAUUAAAAUUAAAUGUAAAAAUUGUUUGUAAAAUCUAUUUCGGUUUUUAUGACAUUAAACAUGAAUUGAACUUGGGACAGAGUGCGAUGGAAUUGGUUUGGCUUAAAUAAACUAUGAAAAUUUGUAUUAAUGGAAUAAACGUUUUAAAGUAUACAUUUCUAUGAUU
ensembl:lncRNA